GUCGGAAGGUGCAAGCGUUGCUCGGAAUCACUGGGCGUAAAGGGUGCGUAGGCGGCUUGGUAGGUCUGGUGUGAAAGCCCCGGGCUCAGCCCGGGAAGGGCACUAGAAACUGCCAAGCUAGAGUGCCGGAGGGGAGAGUGGAAUUCCUGGUGUAGCGGUGAAAUGCGUAGAGAUCAGGAGGAAUACCGGUGGCGAAAGCGACUCUCUGGACGGCAACUGACGCUGAGGCACGAAAGCGUGGGGAGCAAACAGG
rnacentral:rRNA from 1 species